UCAAUAAUAAAAAAAUAUUUAUUGUAAAUUUUAUUAUAGCAAAUGAACGUGACGCCAGGAGUUUGUAAAUCACAUGCAAUUUUUCGUCGUGGUAUAGUGAACUAUCUAUCUUGACCUUAUUUAAACCUGAACAUUUUUACGAAGAUGGUUCGAAGUUCUCUGCAAUCUCUCACCAGUUUAAAGAAGCAAAAGACAAAGUAGGAUCUUUAACACAAGAUCCAGGGAAUGAAUUGAAGUUAAAGAUGUAUGCCCUUUUUAAGCAGGGUUCUUUAGGCAAAUGUAAUACACCAAAGCCUGGGACUUUGGACUUUGUUGGAAAGGCAAAAUGGAAUGCAUGGAACGAUUUGGGUGAUUUAUCACAGGU